rnacentral:rRNA from 1 species
AUUGAACGCUGGCGGAAUGCUUUACACAUGCAAGUCGAACGGCAGCACGGACUUCGGUCUGGUGGCGAGUGGCGAACGGGUGAGUAAUGUAUCGGAACGUGCCCAGUCGUGGGGGAUAACGUAGUGAAAAUUACGCUAAUACCGCAUACGAUCUAUGGAUGAAAGCGGGGGAUCGCAAGACCGCGCGCGAUUGGAGCGGCCGAUAUCAGAUUAGGUAGUUGGUGGGGUAAAGGCCCACCAAGCCAACGAUCUGUAGCUGGUCUGAGAGGACGACCAGCCACACUGGAACUGAGACACGGUCCAGACUCCUACGGGAGGCAGCAGUGGGGAAUUUUGGACAAUGGGCGAAAGCCUGAUCCAGCCAUUCCGCGUGCAGGAUGAAGGCCCUCGGGUUGUAAACUGCUUUUGUGCAGAACGAAAAGGUUUCUACUAAUACUAGGAGCUCAUGACGGUACUGUAAGAAUAAGCACCGGCUAACUACGUGCCAGCAGCCGCCGUAA